GACAUCACGCUCAGCACGCCACGCCAGGAAGAGAAAUGACCGUAAGUGGGAGGAGUCCAUCACAUUUCACACUGACACAGUCGAGGUUUCUCUUUCAUUUGUUCUAUCCCUUUCUCUCUUUCCCCCUCAUUUUCUUAUCGAUCAAAGAGAUUCCUGUAAGUCCCUCUGAGUUCGAUAUAGUUUCAUGAUAGUAAUACACUUUUUACUACAGUGAUUAUCGAUUAUAUGUUAACUUGGAUUAUCAUCCAAUAUAAUUUUUCUCAGCAUAGUGUACCGUCAGAGUAAUCCCAGCUAAUGUUACCUUUCUAAAUUCUGUAAAAAUACAGUUGCUAUCAUAAAUAAAGUUUUAUCAGGUCAAAAUAGUGUAACGGUAGGGCUUAUACUGUAACCCUUGCCUUGCACCUUGGUAUCACACUGAAAACUCUGGGUCUAGCCUUAUCACAAGACUAGACCCACUUCCCCCCACCCCAGAUAUCCCUCCAUCCCAGGGACUCAACUGUCCAAACCUAUCCAAACCGGGACAAUUGUCUGUCACCUCCUUCCGGUUCCCCUCUGUUCAAUUUGCCGGUGUGAGAGGCGGACACGGCAAGAUGUGGAGGUGAGGGGGAUUGAAAAAGGAGAUAGUCAGCGGGACCGGAACACACCGACAUCUCCGUGCCGCUCGGCUAAAUUGAAACUGGGAGAUUGCCAUCAGCGCAGAGCAGGGCCGCAUACAUACAACCAGCUGAUGCAGAUUCCCAUCCCCGGUUGGGGGAUAUGUGCGGAGUCAUUAUCAUUGUUCCAGUGGUUUGCCUCUGCAGGUUGAUGAAACAGAAACAACGCUUGUGAGUACUUCAUUAUUCAUUUGAAUCCAUAAAUGCAAUUAAUUAAGCUUAAGUGUGCAAUAAAUCUGAUUAGCCAGUCGGUUCCCAGAACACCAUAAAAUCCACACAGGUCUUAUUCCCUUUAAUUAAUUUGUGGAGAGGGCGGGGGCAAAUACCCAUGCAUACGUUAAUGUAUGCACACAAACACACACACAGUGCUUGACUAUGACUGAAAUAGGUCCCAGUACUCAUUUUGGGUGCCGGUACAGUUUAUAUUUAGGUACAGGUGCUCCACAAUAAUAUUCUAUAACAGGAACAAGAGCUCUAGCAGUACUCUGCUCCAGUGAGCUCCUACCCAAGUCAAGCACUGUACACACACACACUCUCACACACACAAACAGAACGGUAUACACACACUCACAUGUACACACACACACACACACUCACAUGUACACACACACGCACACAAUAUGCAAAGAGCUAUUCAUUGGGGAUGAAAGAUAAGCUGGGAUUAAUGUAUGCUAAUAUUAAGGGGCACCACGAACAACAAAAUAUGCAAGGUCAUCAGUAAACCUGAAGUGCAAUUAAUAGAUGGAAUUAGCAACGAAAACAAUAGGGCACUUCAACUGCUUAUUGAUAAAAAUUACACGUUGGAAAGGAGAAUAGAAAUGGGCUUAUUAAAUGUGUUGACAGCAGUUGUCCCAAAAAUAAAGCUUGAAAAGAGUUUUUGAUGAUGCUGUGCGUUGGAUGAACCUUCCUUUCCUCUCUUUUGCCACUCUUUCCAUUACUCCCGUCUAUGCUGUUUGUAUGAUCCCUCAUUAUUUAUGAACACACUCCCUCUCUCUUCCUCCCUCCUUUCCUCUUCCACUCCUCCUUCCUUCUCCUCCCUCUCCCUGGCCAGUACUCUCUGGGGAAAUUACCACAGCUCAGAAACGCUGUCCUACUGCACCACACUGCUCCACUCUCCCCUCGGCCCAUAUAACACACCACCAGCACUACAAUACACACACACACCCCUCCCUCAGUCGAUACAGUCCCCUAGGCCUGCUGCUGUAACCGGCCAUUCUGUAGAAGCUCUGCUUGUUGUUUUCCCCUGUAUAGAAAUUGAAUCAGUCACCCUGUGGCCAAGGUCCACUAUGCACUGCACAGGUGAACAGGCUCUGCCUCUCUCUCUCUCUCUCUCUCGCUCUCUAUUCCAGAUUCUAUUCCUCUCACUCUCUUUCACAUAUUUUAUUGGCCUUGCCCUCUGUUCUCUGGGUAAUUCACUGUAAUCUUUACAAGGCCUAUAAUAAAAAAGGCUCUGUCCACCUGAUGGGUAUGGCAAUAUGUUUUCUAAAGUCCCUCUUCUUCUCACAUCCCACAUUACAAUGGUAUGGCCCUCAGAGAAGAUGACAGUAUAGGUUAUAUGACAGCCCUACCACUACUACAGUAAAUGACUAGUUUCACGGUUUCUACAAAGCAUUACAUGGGCUUGCUCCUACCUAUCUCUCUGAUUUGGUCCUGCCGUACAUACCUACACGUACGCUACGGUCACAAGACGCAGGCCUCCUAAUUGUCCCUAGAAUAUCUAAGCAAACAGCUGGAGGCAGGGCUUUCUCCUAUAGAGCUCCAUUUUUAUGUGAUGGUCUGCCUACCUAUGUGAGAGACGCAAACUCGGUCUCAACCUUUAAGUCUUUACUGAAGACUCAUCUCUUCAGUGGGUCAUAUGAGUGAGUGUCAGUGAGUGUAGUCUGGCCCAGGAGUGGGAAGGUGAAUGGAAAGGCUCUGGAGCAACGAACCACCCUUACUAUCUCUGCCUGGCCGGUUCCCAUCUUUCCACUGGGAUUCUCUGCCUCUAACCCUAUUACAGGGGCUGAGUCACUGGCUUACUAGGGCUCUUUCAUACCGUCCCUAGGAGGGGUGCGUCACUUGAGUGGGUUGAGUCACUGAUGUGAUCUCCUGUCUGGGUUGGCGCCCCCCCCCCCCCCCCCCUUGGGUUGUGCCGUGGCGGAGAUCUUUGUGGGCUAUACUCGGCCUUGUCUCAGGAUGGUAAGUUGGUGGUUGAAGAUAUCCCUCUAGUGGUGUGGGGGCUGUGCUUUGGCAAAGUGGGUGGGGUUAUAUCCUUCCUGUUUGGCCCUGUCCGGGGGUGUCCUCGGAUGGGGCCACAGUGUCUCCUGACCCCUCCUGUCUCAGCCUCCAGUAUUUAUGCUGCAGUAGUUUAUGUGUCGGGGGGCUAGGGUCAGUUUGUUAUAUCUGGAGUACUUCUCCUGUCCUAUCCGGUGUCCUGUGGGAAUUUAAGUAUGCCCUCUCUAAUUCUCUCUCUUCUCUCUUUCGUUCUCUCUCUCGGAGGACCUGAGCCCUAGGACCAUGCCUCAAGACUACCUGACAUGAUGACUCCUUGCUGUCCCCAGUCCACCUGGCUGUGCUGCUGCUCCAGUUUCAACUGUUCUGCCUGUGAUUAUUAUUAUUUGACCAUGCUGGUCAUUUAUGAACAUUUGAACAUCUUGGCCAUGUUCUGUUAUAAUCUCCACCCGGCACAGCCAGAAGAGGACUGGCCACCCCACAUAGCCUGGUUCCUCUCUAGGUUUCCUCCUAGCUUUUGGCCUUUCUAGGGAGUUUUUCCUAGCCACCGUGCUUCUACACCUGCAUUGCUUGCUGUUUGGGGUUUUAGGCUGGGUUUCUGUACAGCACUUUGAGAUAUCAGCUGAUGUACGAAGGGCUAUAUAAAUACAUUUGAUUUUAUUUGGAUUGCUAAAUUAAUCUUAUACCUGUAGCAGCAUGGAAUGAUGUUAUGAUUUGUAUUAUUGGUGCGUGGAACUUUGAUAGUCACCUCUCUAUUCAGUAGGGUGAAAAGCGCAGAGUUGGGGACACUCAGGCUCUAGUUUGUUUGUUGUCUCUUGGUACUCCCAUGUCAGACUGAUCAUCGCUGUAGCAUUUAGCAUACGUCAAGUCAUGCCUUUGGAAAUGUCACUUUGAACGGAGCGGCAGCCACCGUCUGCAUUUUGAUUACUCCUAGGCGUAAUCUCCAGACUGGAGGAUUCAGGAUUCAUGAUCAAUACCAAAAACCUGGCCUAUCAUCUAUCAUCCUGCACCAGACAGGGAACCAGUGAUGGGUUCCUUGUCUAUUGCAUAUAGUGCAUUAGUUACAAUUUUCUUUACAUUAUUUUUUAUUUUAUUUAACCUUUAUUUAACUAGGCAAGUCAGUUAAGAACACGUUCUUAUUUACAAUGACGGCCUAGGAACGGUGGGUUCAGGGGCAGAACGACAGAUUUUUACCUUGUAAGCUCGGGGAUUCGAUCUAGCAACCUUUCGGUUACUGGCCCAAUGCUCUAACCACUAGGCUACCUGCCGACCCAAAAUACUAGUAGUGUAGUGCACUAUAUAAGUAGUGCACUAUAUAGGGAAUAGUGUGCCAUUUGGGGUCAAAAGUAGUGCACUAUAUAGGGGAUAGGGUGCCAUUUCGUGUCAAAAGUAGUGCACUAAGGGAAUAGGGUGCCAUUUUCAGACGUAAUGACAAGGGAGGGAGUGUAAACAAAGAUUCACUUUUUGGCUCGCCGUUCAGUGAAUUGUUUGGCUUUUCACCCGGUCAUAUUUAUUUUGUUCAUUCCUAAUUCCACAAGAUAAGACAAUUAACUGAAAAUUGGGAGAGGGGUUUUCGUGUCGUGAGAACUGAUAAAUUGUAGACUUUUUGGAAAAGCUGGAUUGUCAUUUAUAUGUACUUUUCUUCUGACCUGGUUCAAGAUCUGUUUCUGCAGUCUUGACAGCUUGAAUGUUUAGCUCUCCAAUGACCAUAGGAGAUGGCAAGACAGCACAAACCGAUCUGGGACCAGGCUAGUAUUCUUCAUCAUCAUAACACAUGGAAUAUCUCUGUCUGUUUCUUAAAGAAACGCCAAACUAUUGAGAUUUGCUUUGGACAAUUGGUUCCUGAUUGUGUCUGUGUCUCAGUUUUGACUGUCUAGAAAUGUUUCAGAAGGGAGUGAUACUUCCCCUCAUGGCAAGCAUGUUUAAAGUAUAACAUUUUUAAAAUGUUAAACUGUAGCCAAAGCACAUGCAUCAAAUAUACAUGUAGCCACAAUAGUGUGUGUGCGCAGAUAUACAGUAACUUGUGUGCGGGAGUGUCUCUGCUAGCAAGAUCUCACGGCAGGCAAGAAAUGAAAACCUUCUGUGGAAAACACGUGAUUGAACUGGAAUUAAAACAAAAGACAUGAUCACAGGGUGCUUAAAUGAAGAAAAGAAAGAAUGGGAAAGAAAGACUGAGGAGAGGAGUAUCCCAGGAGAGCAGAAGAGAGGAGAAAGUGAGUGAUUGCCAGCGCCGCAGUCCAUCCGCCUCACCUCAUGUCUGGAUUUCCUCUUAACAGAAUAUCAACCAGACCUUUCUCAUUGCCGCCCCUCCAUCAGACGGCUAGCUUAAAUGUGAAAGCAAUUAGGGAAAUUGGCCCUAGUCAAAGAAUCAUCCGAGACACCUAAAAAAAAAGAAUUGCAGCACUGAUUAACGAUUGUCCCGAAUGGCACCCUAUUCUCUAUGUAGUGCACUACUUUUGACUGGCUCUGUUCAAAAGUAGUGCACUAUGUAGGGAAAAGGGUGCCAUUUAGGAUCUAAACUCAGAAUAGAUGUCAGUUGUUUACCCUUUUGUUCUUCUCUGCAUUCACGUCCAGCUACUUGCCACUCACUAUUAAAGUGGGAGGUGUGAUGGUGUCCUACGUGGGGGCAUAGAUCUCCAUCUCUCUUUUUUAAAGUGCACUAAUGACUUUGGUGAGAGUUCUGCAAAUGUGGAUGUUAGUUCUGCAUUAGCCUGCCUGGAUGGCAGGCUUGCUCUGAUGCUGGCAGGUGCUUGCAAAAUGCACUCUACAAAAGUGCAGUAUUGUAAUGUGACACCAACCUACAGUAUAUACAGUGACCUCAAAGUAUUGGGACAGUGGCACAUACCCCUCCAAAAUGCUAACCUCCCCUGUUAUUGUAAUGGUGAGAGGUUAGCAUGUCUUGGGGGUAGGAUAUUUGUGCAUCAAAUUUUCUCACUCAUCAUUAUUCACAAUUAAUUCAGGAUUCAUGGUAGCAUCCACAUUAAAGUAGAAGUGUUUAGAAACAUAUAUUCUUAUUUACAAUAAAAUUUAGUCUAAAAUGACAAUACAUUAUUUACAAUUAAUUUCUACUGGGCACAAGAUAAUCAGAAACUUAACCAAAACAAACAGCAAAUGCAUCCAACAAAUGUGUAGAGUCACAAGUUUGAUGUAGUCAUUGCCCUCUGAAUAUUGGACUAAAUACUUAAUCUUUUACUACUUUAAUACACAUAUAAGUGCAUUUGUCCAAAUACUUUUGGUCCCCCAAAAUGGGGGGGGACUAUGUACAAAAAGGGUUGUAAUUUCUAAACUGUUCACCCAAUAUGGAUGAACAUACACUCAAAUGAAAGUUAGCAGUCUGCACUUUAACCUCAUAGUUUUACUUUUGGAGCUCACUGUAUGUGUGGCAGUAUUACAAGUUUGUUAUCACAUGAAAACUCCAAGGAAUGCAGCCUUCUCUGCUCACCUCCCUUAACCCCCAAGAUUAAACAGCUGUUUUUCCCAUUCAGCUAGAGUUGGCUUUCGCAAUAGCUUUGCGCAGCUUGCCUUGAAUAGGAAGAAACUUUGUCUGGGUUCUGGCUUUCUCAUUGACAGUCUCUGCUGUGAUCUAUGGGGCUGUGCAGUCUAGUCUAGGCUGUUCUCACUGGUCAAUUCUCCCCUUUGUGGACCACAACUUUGACCUAUUCCCACUGUGUGCAUACUGCACUAUGCAUGGUCAUUUCCAUAAGAAAAGAGGCAUCGAGAAUGAGUUGGGGCCACAAUCCUUUCUUGAAUCUGAGAAGCAGAACAAGGGGAAUAGUCGUCCUUCAUCAAUCAAUUGUCAAUUAGUCUGGAAUUGAAAUAUGCUCCUUCUUGGUGGACUUCAUGUGACUUCAAGAUUUUGAGGAAGGUAAUGUGAUAGAAUCAAGGGCCCUUGUAAAAUUAUUUAUUCUUCUAGCAUAAACUUCUAAUUUGCAAACUAAUCACAUACUAUUUUGAUACAUUAUUGAAAGUAUUUAGCCUUUUGUUCACAUGACUAAAUUAGUUAUUUUUCCAUUGCUGUAAAUAUAAACACAGGCUGUGUAAAUCACCAAUAACAGAAAUAACCUAUAUGGUAGUCAUUGCCACAUAUUUACCACACAUAUGCAACUGAAUAGUGUCCAAGGUAGGCUGCAAAUAAAACAUGCACUAUUUUAUCAUCCUC